AGAAAGUCUCAGUUAAACGAACUUGGUUGUUAUGCCUAUAAGAGCUUUAUUGAAUCGAUAUGAAGAGAGAGAGGGAAACAGAGAACUUAUAGUAUUAUAGAUUCAUGGCAUGGAGAGUAAGCAAAGAAACUUGGGAUUUUAGCCAUAUCCCUUAUAAUCAAGUAAAGGUAGUAAGCACACAACAAUCAUAUUGAUCAAGACCAUGAUGAAUCUGAUGGUGGAAUGGUUGUCGAGACCGUGGUGGUGUUGAUGAUGACAAUAUUCGUUGUGUUGUUGAGGAAUUUUGAAAUAACUCUGGCAACACUGAAACUAGCCGUUGGAGGAUGGAGCUUUUGGUGGUGGUGAUGGUGGCGGCGGCGGCGGCGGUGGUGGCGGUGGCGGUGGCGGCGGCGGCGACUUCGGUUUAGGAUGUGGAUGAGGACCCGGAUUGGCUCGACGUGGUGGGGGUGGAGAAGCACUAACCUUAUGGGAUACGACCUUAAGUUCAUGAGAAAAAUCAUGAGAGGCAUCGCCCAUGUAACUAAAGUGUGAUAGUAGUAGUC